AAACAUUAUACUUUUAUCUGAAACAAAAUAUAUUGUUAAAGCUGAGAGUAAUACUUGACGAUGCAGUUUUAAAUAACAUAUUUAUUUAAUUAGGCAAUUUUAACCGUAAUAAAAGCAAUACUUUCAGUGAAUAUGGCCUCAUCAGUGUUUCCAAUAUCCAGUGAUGCAUCAGUCAAGACUAUCUCUCAACCACUUCAAAAGAAAUUGUUGACUGACAUUCUUGAGUGCAUCAUCCAGCUGAAGGCUGACUUUUUUGAAAAUCACCAACCAAUCAGUGAUGACAGUUUGGUGUUGCAGAAGUUUUGUGCCAAGUUAGAACAUCUUAUUCAAGUAGGAAUGAAAG